rnacentral:rRNA from 1 species
GCUAGCGACGUGCCUAAGGUAUGCAAGUCGAAUGCCGAUUUAUCGGCAUGGCAGACGGCUGAGUAACACAUGGGAAUCUACCUCAAACUCGAGAAUAGCCCAUCGAAAGGUGGUGUAAUACUCGAUAGUUCCGUUUACGGUAAAGCUCCGGCGGUUUGAGAUGAGCCCAUGUCCUAUCAGGUUGUUGGUGGGGUAAUUGCCUACCAAGCCUAUGACGGGUAGCUGGUUUGAGAGGAUGAUCAGCCAGACUGGGACUGCGAUACGGCCCAGACUCCUACGGGAGGCAGCAACUAGGAAUCAUGCGCAAUGGACGAAAGUCUGACGCUGCGACGUCGCGUGAGGGAUGAAGGUCUUCGGAUCGUAAACCUCUUUUAUCUGGGAACAAGUUCUGAGUGUACCAGAUGAAUAAGUGCCUGCCAACCACGUGCCAGAAGCAUCGGUAAUGCGUGGGGCACGAGCGUUAUCCGGAUUUACUGGGCCUAAAGAGAUGCGUAGGCGCCUUUUUAAGUCACUUGUAAAAUCUCCCCGCUCAACGGGGGAAACUGCAAGUGAUACUGAAUUGGUUGAGUCAAGUAGAGGAGAGGGGAAUUCCUGGUGGAGCGGUUAAAUGCGUUGAUAUCAGGAGGAAUACCAAGUGCGAAGGCACCUCUCUGGACUUGUACUGACGCUAAGGCUCGAAAGUGUGGGGAGCAAAACGGAUUAGAUACCCGUGUAGUCCACACUGUAAACGAUCCCUGCUAGAUGUUUGC